rnacentral:pre_miRNA from 14 species
UUCUGUCAAGAGGCCAGCAAGAACAUGUACACUUGAAAGACCCCCGGAGUGGGGAGACCCUCACUCAAGUCUUGGGAUGAUGCAACCCCCCAAGAACUCACACAAGACU